AUGGAGCUGCACAUUCUAGAGCACCGGGUGCGGGUGCUGAGCCUCGCCCGCCCACGUCUCUGGCUCUACACCCACCCGCUCAUCAAGCUACUCUUCCUUCCCCGCCGCAGCCAGUGCAAGUUCUUCAGCCUGACGGAGACCCCCGAGGAUUACACGCUCAUGGUGGACGAGGAGGGCUUCAAAGAGCUACCCCCAUCUGAGUUCCUUCAAGUGGCUGAGGCCACAUGGCUGGUGCUGAACGUGUCAUCCCACAGCGGUACAGCAGUGCAGGCUUGCUGGGGUCACCAAAAUUGCCCUCUCAGUCAUUGUGCCGUUGGCGGAGCACCAUGUGUCUGUGCUGAUGCUGUCCACUUACCAGACGGACUUCAUCCUGGUGCGGGAACAGGCCCUGUCCGUGGUGAUCCACACACUAUCCCAGGAGUUCGACAUUUACUGAGAAGUGGGUGGGGAGCCUGUGCCUGUUGCCAGGGAUGAUUCCAGCACUGGCUUUCCCCGUUCUCAGCAUGGGCCCAGCCCCACCGUGCAUCCCAUCCAGAGCCCACAGAAUUGCUUCUGUGUCCUCACACUGGACCCUGAGACAUUGCCAGCCAUCGCUACCACACUCAUCGAUAUCCUCUUCUAUUCAUACAGUGCCCCCAAGGAAGCAGCCUCUGGUGAUACUGGACCCAGCUCCAUUACUUCUUUGCCUUCUCCCUCAUCGAGAGCUACAUCUCCAUCGUCAUGGAUGCUGAGACGCAGAAAAAGUUCCCCAGUGACCUCCCGCUGACCAGCUCCUCAGGAGAGUUGUGGAGAAUGAUGAGUGUGGGAUCGUGGCCCAGAUCGCAGGCCCCCUGGCUGCGGCCAACAUCUCUGCCUACUACAUCAGCACCUUCAACUUUGACCAUUCCCUGGUGCCUGAGGAUGGCAUCGGGAGGGUCAUUGAGGUCCUCCAGCGACGGCAGGUUGGCCAGGGCUCCUGAGGCCUCCACGCUCUCCCUUCGCCCCAGGCUUCCAGAGACUUCUCUAAGCUAUUUCCUCAAGCUCUGGGAUGAGCCCUCCCCACCCCCAUUCCUGCCGGGG